rnacentral:RNase_MRP_RNA from 2 species
AGGCUCCGCCUAGGCUUGAUCUCGAAGCUACGUACGGAGUCCGCUGUGACUCGUUGCUUUGGGGAAAGUCCCCAGACCUUGGGCAGAGAGUGCCGGGGCGCGAGGCCCUUCUCCCCGGCGCAGGGGGCGCACGAACGGCCGGGACGGGCCCAGCCCGGAGCCGUGCGUCGGCCGGGGCCACCGUCGCAGCAAAGUCAUGCAAGCCACCGGGCAUCGCUGCUCGGUCACCACAAUGGGGCUCAUUCAGGCGGAACU